rnacentral:rRNA from 1 species
AUUGAACGCUGGCGGCAGGCUUAACACAUGCAAGUCGAACGAGUGGCGGACGGGUGAGUAAUGCUUGGGAAACUGCCUGAUGGAGGGGGAUAACUACUGGAAACGGUAGCUAAUACCGCAUACCAUCGGAUGAGCCCAGGUGGGAUUAGGUAGUGGGUGGGGUAAAGGCUCACCAAGCCGACGAUCUCUAGCUGGUCUGAGAGGAUGACCAGCCACACUGGGACUGAGACACGGCCCAGACUCCUACGGGAGGCAGCAGUGGGGAAUAUUGCACAAUGGGCGCAAGCCUGAUGCAGCCAUGCCGCGUGUAUGAAGAAGGCCUUCGGGUUGUAAAGUACUUUCAGCGGGGAGGCGUUACCCGCAGAAGAAGCACCGGCUAACUCCGUGCCAGCAGCCGCGGUAAUAC